GUGCUUGCUUUGGCAGCAUGCAUUCUAAAAUUGAAAUAAUAGAGAAGUUUAAUAUUGCCUUGUGCAGGGAUAACCUGCAAAUUCACAAAUUAUUCCAUAUUUUU
rnacentral:snRNA from 1 species